UUAUGUUCCAUCUGCUGAACUUAAAAGGUUAUUUGGUACAAAAUGCAGCAUGCAAUGCCUUGAAGAGGUAGAUGCUUUGGAAGAAAGGCAUAAAGCCUGGGGUCUUGACUACCUUUUUGAAAAAUUGUAUCUCCUUACAGAGAAGUAAAAAACCAGCCUGGUAGUGGAGCACACCUUUUAUCUCAGCAGGCUAGCCUGGUCUACCAGUGAGUUCCAAGACAGCCAGAGAGACCCUAUCUGGAAAAACCAAAUAGAAAACCAACCAAACAAACAAAAAACACCCAAUCAAUCCCUGUAUGAGUUUUUUGAACAAUUAAAAAUUAUGUUGAGGGUUAAUGUAUUAGCCAUGGUUUCUGUUCCUGCACAAAACAUCAUAAUCAAGAAGAAAGUUGUCACACAGCAGCUUCACACCAGAGUCUUCUAGAAUGUUCUCUGAAACGUUUAGGCAACUCAGGUUCUGAUUGUUCCUGAGGAUGUCAGCCAGGUCCUAGCAGCCUCCAGUGAUGAGACAGGCUCUCACCCUUAGUGACACAAGUGCACUGUCUGAGCCAUACACUCGCCGGCUGCUUCUCCAUGUCCUUGUCAUGCAGCUCCGACUCCUGUUUGGUGACAUCCCAUCCCAUCCCCUCUAAGCUGUCAGUGCUAAAUAGUUUUGCAGGUUGGGAUGGGAUCUCCUCUGUGGGAGCUGAGGGACUGGGCUGCUCUCUGGAGAUCAGCCCAGCUAGGCUUGCUGUCUUCAGUUGCUUCACAUCUUGAGAGCAGAAGUAGAAGAUGUGGGAGAAUUUGCUCUGAAACGCCAGGCCUUCUGACCAGACAGGCGUUCAAUUUUUCAACAUAAUAGUCUUGCCGAUUCCAGCCCACGUGUGGCUUCUUUUCAGUUCCCUUUGGUACAAGAAGGUUCUCAAGAUGAUUAUAUUCAUCCUCGAAAAAAUUCUGAAGGCUGUUAUGGAACUUUCUGGAAAAAUCAUGGGUCAGCUUCUUUAAAUGAGCUUGAUAUAUCAUUGGGUAUGGAGCAAUCUCUCCUGUUGCCCUCUCUCUCUCUUUUAAUUUUUUAAAAAGUAUAUGAGUACACACUGUAACUGUACAGAUAGUUGUGAGCCUUCAUCUGGUUGUUGGGAAUUGACUUUAGGACCUCUGCUCACUCCAGUCAGCCUCCUUGCUCAGGCCCAAAGAUUUAUUAUUAUAAAUAAGUACUCUAUAAUCUGUCUUCAGACAGCACCAGAAGAGGGCAUCAGAUCUCGUUACAGGUGGUUGUGAGCCACCAUGUGGUUGCUGGGAUUUGAACUCAGGACCUUCAGAAGAGCAGUGAGUGCUCUUACUUGCUGAGCCAUCUCUCCAGUCCCCAGUUGCCCUCUCAGUAAGAUCCUUCCCAUUGGUCUUCUGAAGGAUGAGGGUCUUAUAACCCACACCCACAGUGACACACCUACUCCGACAAGGCCACACCUUCUAAUAGUGCCACUCCCUUGGCUGAGCAUAUACAAACCAUCACAGUUAAAAAUACAAUCACUUAAUUUUUCUUCUCAUGCAACAUUCAGAUCUUUGCUCACUACUUUUUAAAAAUGAAAUCACACACUAAAAUGUUAUAAGUCAAUCAAUCCUUUAAAGAUUGUAUGACUGGUAGCAGAACAUUAAAUACUCGUGUGUCUUUUUUAUAGUCAGCGUGUAUUUCUUCUAUAACUAAAAAAAAAACAAAAAAAUAAUGCUUUUAACUUUAAACAACAACACGUUCUGUAUGGAAAUAUAACAUUUUAACAGGAUUUGGGAUAGUCUAAAUUUUGUAUUAAAAAUUAUACUUUGCUAUAGAUCUUAAUCUACUUAGGACCCGGAACUACAUCUUCACCGGCUUCUCCACUUGUAUAAUUCUAUAUGUAACAGAGUCAAGAAAUG
rnacentral:lncRNA from 1 species